rnacentral:rRNA from 1 species
GAUCCUGCCAGUAGCAUAUGCUUGUUUCAAAGGCUAAGCCAUGCAUGUCUAAGUAGAGCUGUGUGUUUACACACGGUGAUACCGCGGACGGCUCAUUAAAUCAGUCGUGGUCCACAUGGGCCCGUCCUUUCACGGUAUACUUGGAUAACCGUGGUAAUUCUAGAGCUAAUACAUGCAAUUGAUAUCCCGAGGUGUGCCUAACAGUACGCCGACGGAUGCACUUAUUAGACCAAUGCCUCAGCUGUGUUGUUCCUUCCCUGUGUUGGUUUGACAUAGCCAUCCGCAUUUAUGGUGACUCUGGAUAAUUACCUGGACGAGCGCACGUAUCUGUUCAUGCAGGACGGCGCCGCCUCUUUCGAGUGUCUGCCUUAUCAGCCUUCAAUCGCUCGUUAUGUGCGAACGAUGGCCUUGACGGGUAACGGGGAAUCAGGGUUCGAUUCCGGAGAGGCAGCCUGAGAAACGGCUACCACGUCUAAGGACGGCAGCAGGCACGCAAAUUACCCAAUCCCAGAAUUCUGGGGAGGUAGUGACGAAAAAUAACGAUGCGGGUGCCUCUUUCGAGGCCCCGCAAUCGGAAUGAAUGUGUCUUAAAAAAUCUGAUGAGAACCUACUGAAGGGCAAGUCUGGUGCCAGCAGCCGCG